GGAGAGGUGCCUGAGUGGCCGAAAGGAACGGUUUGCUAAACCGUCGUACGGGUAAAACCGUACCGUGGGUUCGAAUCCCACCCUCUCCG
rnacentral:tRNA from 1 species